AGCAGCCGCGGUAAUUCCAGCUCCAAUAGCGUAUAUUAAAGUUGUUGCAGUUAAAAAGCUCGUAGUUGAAUUUCGGGAUCAUCAGGUCGGUCGUGCCUCCGGUAUGUACUGGUCUCGAUGGUUCCUCCUUCUUGUAGAACCGUAAUGCCAUUAAUUUGGUGUUGCGGGGAAACAGGACUGUUACUUUGAAAAAAUUAGAGUGUUUAAAGCAGGCGAUCGCUUGAAUACAUUAGCAUGGAAUAAUGAAAUAGGACGUUCGAUCCUAUUUUGUUGGUUUCUAGGAUUGACGUAAUGAUUAAUAGGGAUAGUUGGGGGCAUUAGUAUUCAAUUGUCAGAGGUGAAAUUCUUGGAUUUAUUGAAGACUAACUACUGCGAAAGCAUUUGCCAAGGAUGUUUUCAUUAAUCAAGAACGAAAGUUAGGGGAUCGAAGACGAUCAGAUACCGUCGUAGUCUUAACCAUAAACUAUGCCGACUAGGGAUCGGAUGAUGUUAAUUUUUUAAUGACUCAUUCGGCGCCUUA
rnacentral:rRNA from 1 species